rnacentral:lncRNA from 1 species
UAAACCACACAUUAAGAACCUACCGCCUUUUCAUCUUCAUCGUUGUCGCUUUCGAAAGGUGAAGGAGGUGAACACCAAAGCAUCGAACUUCCAGACCUGUUAAGAUUGCGUGACUAUACAAUUCCUUUUUACGGGUAAAAAAUCCUUUGCCACGUGAAUUGAAACACAAGUUUCAAGGCCUCAAAAUGUUUAAUCACUCCGUAGUAUUGAUUCAUGAAGAGGGAUGCGUGCUACUACAAAUAUAUCACAUAAGAAUAAGAAUCACAACAUAGCGAUAGUCGAUAUAGGAACCACAAAUGACAAUUAACAUGGCUAAAUGAAGUAACUUAAAUGGCUAUUUGGUUUCAACAACUAACCUUUUCCAAAUUUGGAUUGGAUGGAUAAAGAGCACCAGUAUUCACAUCAAAU